rnacentral:tRNA from 1 species
CAUUUUUGAGAAACAAACGAUACUACAAGUAUUCCAGGAAUUAACUUUAUUCCCUCAAAAAC